UUCACAGAUUGUUUUCACACUCGGCGCGAAGUCUUUGCAACAUGAAGUGGUUAACAGUUUUCCUCGUGCUUUUGGUCGUGGUAUCAAGUGCGCUAAUUGCAUCUGCAAAGCCGCAGCAGUUGCAUCGGAAAGUUGCCAUUGUCGUACGUUUGAGACCCUGCCAAGCAGGAUUUCGUCGGAUCGGUAACGGUCGUUGUAGAAAAAUCGUGUAGUCACGACGAUUGAACAGAGCGCCACGGGAGCGAGAAGAUAUACGUCGAGGACAGCAUCACGAACGCUCCGAAACCAACUUCGAUAGAUUCUUCGAGCUGCGUUAUUCAUUGGUUUCUUUUUUUUUUCCAUUUUUUGUUUCUUCAUUUACGAAGACUACAGAGUACGCGUUUCAAUGAAUCGGAAAACGGAAUGACGAUCGCAAUGAUACAACACUAUAAUGCCGUACGAAGUCGAAAUUGAAAAGCUUUCAGCGAAUUUCUUGGAUUUCGAUCUUUCGCAGUUGAUUAGAAUUUGGACUUUUGAGAAACAUUUUUGUGAUUGAGAAAAAUGGAUUAAAAA